UACGUAGGGUGCGAGCGUUGUCCGGAAUCACUGGGCGUAAAGGGCGCGUAGGUGGCGACCCAAGUCUGUGGUGAAAGCUCGACGCUCAACGUCGAGUCGGCCAUAGAUACUGGGUUGCUCGAGCACUGUAGAGGCAGAUGGAAUUCCGGGUGUAGCGGUGGAAUGCGUAGAGAUCCGGAAGAACACCGGUGGCGAAGGCGGUCUGCUGGGCAGUUGCUGACACUGAGGCGCGACAGCGUGGGGAGCAAACAGG
rnacentral:rRNA from 1 species